rfam:Ictidomys tridecemlineatus contig141930, whole genome shotgun sequence.
GGGAGCAUAGCUCAGUGGUAGAGCACUUGCCUAGUUUGUGAGAGACCCUGGGUUCAAUGCCUAGUCCUA